rnacentral:tRNA from 1 species
GGGCCUGUAGUUCAAUGGUUAGAACACACCGCUCAUAACGGUGGAGUUGCAGGUUCGAGUCCUGCCGGGCCCA